ACCUACGGGAGGCAGCAGUGAGGAAUAUUGGUCAAUGGGCGGGAGCCUGAACCAGCCAAGCCGCGUGAGGGAAGAAGGCACAGCGUAUCGUAAACCUCUUUUGUCAGGGAACAAAGGCGGGGACUAGUCCCCGGAUGAGGGUACCUGAAGAAAAAGCAUCGGCUAACUCCGUGCCAGCAGCCGCGGUAAUACGGAGGAUGCGAGCGUUAUCCGGACUUAUUGGGUUUAAAGGGUGCGCAGGCGGCCUGUUAAGUCAGCGGUAAAACCCCGGGGCUCAACCCCGGCCAGCCGUUGAAACUGGCGGG
rnacentral:rRNA from 1 species